AUUGAACGCUGGCGGCAGGCUUAACACAUGCAAGUCGAGCGGGGGAAGGUAGCUUGCUACUGGACCUAGCGGCGGACGGGUGAGUAAUGCUUAGGAAUCUGCCUAUUAGUGGGGGACAACAUCUCGAAAGGGAUGCUAAUACCGCAUACGUCCUACGGGAGAAAGCAGGGGAUCUUCGGACCUUGCGCUAAUAGAUGAGCCUAAGUCGGAUUAGCUAGUUGGUGGGGUAAAGGCCUACCAAGGCGACGAUCUGUAGCGGGUCUGAGAGGAUGAUCCGCCACACUGGGACUGCGACACGGCCCAGACUCCUGCGGGAGGCAGCAGUGGGGAAUAUUGGACAAUGGGGGGAACCCUGAUCCAGCCAUGCCGCGUGUGUGAAGAAGGCCUUAUGGUUGUAAAGCACUUUAAGCGAGGAGGAGGCUACUUUAGUUAAUACCUAGAGAUAGUGGACGUUACUCGUAGAAUAAGCACCGGCUAACUCUGUGCCAGCCGCCGCGGUAA
rnacentral:rRNA from 1 species